rnacentral:tRNA from 1 species
GGAGGGGUACCGAAGCGGUCAUACCGGAGCGGUUUGCUAAACCGUCGUAGGGGGAAACCUCUACCGCGGGUUCGAAUCCCGCCCCCUCCGCCA